AACGAACGCUGGCGGCAUGCCUAACACAUGCAAGUCGAACGAGACCUUCGGGUAUAGUGGCGCACGGGUGCUUCACGCGUGGGAACCUGCCCUUAGGUUCGCAAUAACUCCCCGAAAGGGGUGCUAAUACCGGCUAAUGUCUUCUGACCAAAGGUUAAUCGCCUUUGGGUUGUUCCGAGUUGGAUUCCUUUGUUGGUAGGGUAAAAGCCUACUAAGGAGAAGACCCAUCACUGGUAUGGUGGGAUGAUCAAGAACACUGGGACUGAGACAAGGCCCAGACUCCGACGGGAGGAAGAAGUGGGGAAGAAUGGACAAUGGGCGAAAGACUGAGCCAGCAAUGCCGUGUGGGUGAUGAAGGCCUUAGGGUAGUAAAGCGAUUUUACAGGGGAAGAAAAUGACAGUACCAGGAGAAUAAGCACCGGCUAACUCCGUG
rnacentral:rRNA from 1 species